GCUUGGCAUGGUGGCAUGUUCCUGUAGUCCCAGCUACUCAGUAGGCUGAGGAAGGAGGAUCACUUGAGUUCAGGAGUUCUGGGUUGUAGUGCACUAUGCCAACUGGGCAUCCACACUAAGUUCAGCUUCAAUAUGGUGACUUCGUGGGAGAAGAGGAUCAUCAGGUUGCCUAAGGAGCGGUGAACUGACCCAAGUCAGAAACAGAGCAGGUCAAAACUCCCAUUCUGAUUAGUAGUGGGAUCAUGCCUGUGAAUAGCCACUGCACUCCAACUUGGGAAACAUAGUGAGACCUGGUUUUCCU
rfam:Chlorocebus sabaeus isolate 1994-021 chromosome 7, whole genome shotgun sequence.